rnacentral:rRNA from 1 species
GACGAACGCUGGCGGCGUGCUUAACACAUGCAAGUCGAACGGAAAGGCCCUGCUUUUGUGGGGUGCUCGAGUGGCGAACGGGUGAGUAACACGUGAGUAAACUGCCCUUGACUUUGGGAUAACUUCAGGAAACUGGGGCUAAUACCGGAUAGGAGCUACUGCUGCAUGGUGGGGGUUGGAAAGUUUCGGCGGUUGGGGAUGGACUGGCGGCUUAUCAGCUUGUUGGUGGGGUAGUGGCUUACCAAGGCUUUGACGGGUAGCCGGCCUGAGAGGGUGACCGGCCACAAUGGGACUGAGAGACGGCCCAGACUCCUACGGGAGGCAGCAGUGGGGAAUAUUGCACAAUGGGCGGAAGCCUGAUGCAGCAACGCCGCGUGCGGGAUGACGGCCUUCUGGUUGUAAACCGCUUUCGCCUGUGACGAAGCGUGAGUGACGGUAAUGGGUAAAGAAGCACCGGCUAACUACGUG